CCUACGGGUGGCUGCAGUGGGGAAUAUUGCACAAUGGGCGCAAGCCUGAUGCAGCCAUGCCGCGUGUGUGAAGAAGGCCUUCAGGUUGUAAAGCACUUUCAGCGGGGAGGAAGGCGGUGAGGUUAAUAACCUCAUCGAUUGACGUUACCCGCAGAAGAAGCACCGGCUAACUCCGUGCCAGCAGCCGCGGUAAUACGGAGGGUGCAAGCGUUAAUCGGAAUUACUGGGCGUAAAGCGCACGCAGGCGGUCUGUCAAGUCGGAUGUGAAAUCCCCGGGCUCAACCUGGGAACUGCAUUCGAAACUGGCAGGCUAGAGUCUUGUAGAGGGGGGUAGAAUUCCAGGUGUAGCGGUGAAAUGCGUAGAGAUCUGGAGGAAUACCGGUGGCGAAGGCGGCCCCCUGGACAAAGACUGACGCUCAGGUGCGAAAGCGUGGGGAGCAAACAGGAUUAGAUACCCCUGUAGUC
rnacentral:rRNA from 1 species